rnacentral:rRNA from 1 species
GGUUAAGCGACUAAGCGUACACGGUGGAUGCCCUGGCAGUCAGAGGCGAUGAAGGACGUGCUAAUCUGCGAUAAGCGUCGGUAAGGUGAUAUGAACCGUUAUAACCGGCGAUUUCCGAAUGGGGAAACCCAGUGUGAUUCGUCACACUAUCAUUAACUGAAUCCAUAGGUUAAUGAGGCGAACCGGGGGAACUGAAACAUCUAAGUACCCCGAGGAAAAGAAAUCAACCGAGAUUCCCCCAGUAGCGGCGAGCGAACGGGGAGCAGCCCAGAGCCUGAAUCAGUGUGUGUGUUAGUGGAAGCGUCUGGAAAGGCGCGCGAUACAGGGUGACAGCCCCGUACACAAAAAUGCACAUGCUGUGAGCUCGAUGAGUAGGGCGGGACACGUGGUAUCCUGUCUGAAUAUGGGGGGACCAUCCUCCAAGGCUAAAUACUCCUGACUGACCGAUAGUGAACCAGUACCGUGAGGGAAAGGCGAAAAGAACCCCGGCGAGGGGAGUGAAAAAGAACCUGAAACCGUGUACGUACAAGCAGUGGGAGCACGCUUAGGCGUGUGACUGCGUACCUUUUGUAUAAUGGGUCAGCGACUUAUAUUCUGUAGCAAGGUUAACCGAAUAGGGGAGCCGAAGGGAAACCGAGUCUUAACUGGGCGUUAAGUUGCAGGGUAUAGACCCGAAACCCGGUGAUCUAGCCAUGGGCAGGUUGAAGGUUGGGUAACACUAACUGGAGGACCGAACCGACUAAUGUUGAAAAAUUAGCGGAUGACUUGUGGCUGGGGGUGAAAGGCCAAUCAAACCGGGAGAUAGCUGGUUCUCCCCGAAAGCUAUUUAGGUAGCGCCUCGUGAAUUCAUCUCCGGGGGUAGAGCACUGUUUCGGCAAGGGGGUCAUCCCGACUUACCAACCCGAUGCAAACUGCGAAUACCGGAGAAUGUUAUCACGGGAGACACACGGCGGGUGCUAACGUCCGUCGUGAAGAGGGAAACAACCCAGACCGCCAGCUAAGGUCCCAAAGUCAUGGUUAAGUGGGAAACGAUGUGGGAAGGCCCAGACAGCCAGGAUGUUGGCUUAGAAGCAGCCAUCAUUUAAAGAAAGCGUAAUAGCUCACUGGUCGAGUCGGCCUGCGCGGAAGAUGUAACGGGGCUAAACCAUGCACCGAAGCUGCGGCAGCGACACUAUGUGUUGUUGGGUAGGGGAGCGUUCUGUAAGCCUGUGAAGGUGUGCUGUGAGGCAUGCUGGAGGUAUCAGAAGUGCGAAUGCUGACAUAAGUAACGAUAAAGCGGGUGAAAAGCCCGCUCGCCGGAAGACCAAGGGUUCCUGUCCAACGUUAAUCGGGGCAGGGUGAGUCGACCCCUAAGGCGAGGCCGAAAGGCGUAGUCGAUGGGAAACAGGUUAAUAUUCCUGUACUUGGUGUUACUGCGAAGGGGGGACGGAGAAGGCUAUGUUGGCCGGGCGACGGUUGUCCCGGUUUAAGCGUGUAGGCUGGUUUUCCAGGCAAAUCCGGAAAAUCAAGGCUGAGGCGUGAUGACGAGGCACUACGGUGCUGAAGCAACAAAUGCCCUGCUUCCAGGAAAAGCCUCUAAGCAUCAGGUAACAUCAAAUCGUACCCCAAACCGACACAGGUGGUCAGGUAGAGAAUACCAAGGCGCUUGAGAGAACUCGGGUGAAGGAACUAGGCAAAAUGGUGCCGUAACUUCGGGAGAAGGCACGCUGAUAUGUAGGUGAAGUCCCUCGCGGAUGGAGCUGAAAUCAGUCGAAGAUACCAGCUGGCUGCAACUGUUUAUUAAAAACACAGCACUGUGCAAACACGAAAGUGGACGUAUACGGUGUGACGCCUGCCCGGUGCCGGAAGGUUAAUUGAUGGGGUCAGCGCAAGCGAAGCUCUUGAUCGAAGCCCCGGUAAACGGCGGCCGUAACUAUAACGGUCCUAAGGUAGCGAAAUUCCUUGUCGGGUAAGUUCCGACCUGCACGAAUGGCGUAAUGAUGGCCAGGCUGUCUCCACCCGAGACUCAGUGAAAUUGAACUCGCUGUGAAGAUGCAGUGUACCCGCGGCAAGACGGAAAGACCCCGUGAACCUUUACUAUAGCUUGACACUGAACAUUGAGCCUUGAUGUGUAGGAUAGGUGGGAGGCUUGGAAGUGUGGACGCCAGUCUGCAUGGAGCCGACCUUGAAAUACCACCCUUUAAUGUUUGAUGUUCUAACGUUGACCCGUGAUCCGGGUUGCGGACAGUGUCUGGUGGGUAGUUUGACUGGGGCGGUCUCCUCCUAAAGAGUAACGGAGGAGCACGAAGGUUGGCUAAUCCUGGUCGGACAUCAGGAGGUUAGUGCAAUGGCAUAAGCCAGCUUGACUGCGAGCGUGACGGCGCGAGCAGGUGCGAAAGCAGGUCAUAGUGAUCCGGUGGUUCUGAAUGGAAGGGCCAUCGCUCAACGGAUAAAAGGUACUCCGGGGAUAACAGGCUGAUACCGCCCAAGAGUUCAUAUCGACGGCGGUGUUUGGCACCUCGAUGUCGGCUCAUCACAUCCUGGGGCUGAAGUAGGUCCCAAGGGUAUGGCUGUUCGCCAUUUAAAGUGGUACGCGAGCUGGGUUUAGAACGUCGUGAGACAGUUCGGUCCCUAUCUGCCGUGGGCGCUGGAGAACUGAGGGGGGCUGCUCCUAGUACGAGAGGACCGGAGUGGACGCAUCACUGGUGUUCGGGUUGUCAUGCCAAUGGCACUGCCCGGUAGCUAAAUGCGGAAGAGAUAAGUGCUGAAAGCAUCUAAGCACGAAACUUGCCCCGAGAUGAGUUCUCCCUGACUCCUUGAGAGUCCUGAAGGAACGUUGAAGACGACGACGUUGAUAGGCCGGGUGUGUAAGCGCAGCGAUGCGUUGAGCUAACCGGUACUAAUGAACCGUGAGGCUUAACCUU